AAGCGGUGGAUGAUGUGGUUAAUUCGAUGCAACGCGAAAACCUUACCCACUUGACAUGUACGGAAUCCUUUAGAGAUAGAGGAGUGCUCGAAAGAGAACCGUAACACAGGUGCUGCAUGGCUGUCGUCAGCUCGUGUCGUGAGAUGUUGGGUUAAGUCCCGCAACGAGCGCAACCCUUGUCAUUAGUUGCUACAUUCAGUUGGGCACUCUAAUGAGACUGCCGGUGACAAACCGGAGGAAGGUGGGGAUGACGUCAAGUCCUCAUGGCCCUUAUAGGUGGGGCUACACACGUCAUACAAUGGCUGGUACAAAGGGUUGCCAACCCGCGAGGGGGAGCCAAUCCCAUAAAGCCAGUCGUAGUCCGGAUCGCAGUCUGCAACUCGACUGCGUGAAGUCGGAAUCGCUAGUAAUCGUGGAUCAGCAUGUCACGGUGAAUACGUUCCCGGGUCUU
rnacentral:rRNA from 1 species